GGCUGAAUCCAGUUCCACUGAAGUUACUGGUCUUGCCUACUUAGAGGAUGAAUGCCCAGUAGCACCCGGCUGACAGGCAGAAUUCUCAGCAUUCAGUGGACAUCUAGGCUCAAUCACAUCGUUUGAAAUCACCCCAAACACCUUUGGAUAGAGAAGCUAAGAUGAAGUGCCAGACCUGUACUCUAUCAAUAACACAAAAUGGACAGGCAGAAGUCAUGGUCCAUCUCCAUUCAGGUGGUAAAGCUGCCAACAUUUCUAACUGGCAUCCCUAUGGAAAUGGUUAAUGUGGUCAACAAGGCAGGAUCUAGCAUCACCUAGGAGAUAAUUCUAGACAAAGAUAAUUGAGGAGAGAAGAGCCUCCCUGAAUCUGGCUGGGUAGUGUCAUCCCAGGUCUGGAGUCCAAGGCUGAAGAAGAAGAAGAAGAAAACCUGAGCAAUAGCAUGCACCUCUCUGGGCUUCCUGACUGCAGAGGGAAUGUGUGACUAGCUGCUUCAUGCACUUAUCAGCAUGCCCUCCACCCACCCCCACCGUGAUGGACUGAACUUUCAAC